GACGAACGCUGGCGGCGUGCCUAAUACAUGCAAGUUGAGCGCUGAAGGUUGGUACUUGUACCGACUGGAUGAGCAGCGAACGGGUGAGUAACGCGUGGGGAAUCUGCCUUUGAGCGGGGGGCAACAUUUGGAAACGAAUGCUAAUACCGCAUAAAAACUUUAAACACAAGUCUUAAGUUUGAAAGAUGCAAUUGCAUCACUCAAAGAUGAUCCCGCGUUGUAUUAGCUAGUUGGUGAGGUAAAGGCUCACCAAGGCGAUGAUACAUAGCCGACCUGAGAGGGUGAUCAGCCACAUUGGGACUGAGACACGGCCCAAACUCCUACGGGAGGCAGCAGUAGGGAAUCUUCGGCAAUGGACGAAAGUCUGACCGAGCAACGCCGCGUGAGUGAAGAAGGUUUUCGGAUCGUAAAACUCUGUUGGUAGAGAAGAACGUUGGUGAGAGUGGAAAGCUCAUCAAGUGACGGUAACUACCCAGAAAGGGACGGCUAACUACGUG
rnacentral:rRNA from 1 species